UCAGGGGCGGAUGCACAUUAGCUUGAGUGGGUGCACAGGACCCCACUCAGCUUGGACUUGAACCCCUUUUUAAGCCUAGACUCAAAACUAAUGUUAACUUAGAAAUAAUUAAACAAACAAACGAUGUUUUCUCCUAAAUGGAAAAAUGGUUUUUCUAGUAUGUUUUUACGGACUCACACUAACAACUACUUUUUGUUUAGAUGAGAAAUUUUAAAUGUCGAAGAUUGUGCAUGCAGAGGGGCCAUUAUUAUUAAUGUGAUUAGAGCCUAUAAGAAUCCACUACUUCGUCAAAAAGUGGUUGUUAGUGUUACUUCCUUCUUUUAUAAUAGUCGUUUUGACUUUCCGUGAUUUGAGGAGUAUCAUAUAUUAUUUAAGGAACCCACUGAAAUAUAAUCCUGGAUCCGCCACUGG
rnacentral:lncRNA from 1 species